rnacentral:rRNA from 1 species
UACGUAGGCAGCGAGCGUUGUCCGGAAUUACUGGGCGUAAAGAGCUCGUAGGUGGCUUGUCGCGUUGUUCGUGAAAACUCACAGCUCAACUGUGGGCGUGCGGGCGAUACGGGCAGACUGGAGUACUGCAGGGGAGACUGGAAUUCCUGGUGUAGCGGUGGAAUGCGCAGAUAUCAGGAGGAACACCGGUGGCGAAGGCGGGUCUCUGGGCAGUAACUGACGCUGAGGAGCGAAAGCGUGGGGAGCGAACAGG